rnacentral:rRNA from 1 species
CACGUAGGGCGCAAGCGUUGUCCGGAAUUAUUGGGCGUAAAGAGCUCGUAGGCGGUCUGUUGCGUCCGCUGUGAAAACCCGGGGCUUAACCCCUGUCUUGCAGUGGAUACGGACAGACUAGAGGUAGGUAGGGGAGAAUGGAAUUCCCGGUGUAGCGGUGAAAUGCGCAGAUAUCGGGAGGAACACCGGUGGCGAAGGCGGUUCUCUGGGCCUUACCUGACGCUGAGGAGCGAAAGCGUGGGGAGCGAACAGG